UACAGAGGGGGCAAGCGUUGUUCGGAAUUACUGGGCGUAAAGGGCGCGUAGGCGGCCCGCUAAGUCGAACGUGAAAUCCCCGAGCUCAACUCGGGAACUGCGUCCGAUACUGGCGGGCUUGAAUCCGGGAGAGGGAUGCGGAAUUCCAGGUGUAGCGGUGAAAUGCGCAGAUAUCGGGAGGAACACCGGUGGCGAAGGCGGUUCUCUGGGCCUGUACUGACGCUGAGGAGCGAAAGCGUGGGGAGCGAACAGG
rnacentral:rRNA from 1 species